rnacentral:rRNA from 1 species
CGGGGAGGUAGUGACGAAAAAUAACGAUACGGGACUCAUCCGAGGCCCCGUAAUCGGAAUGAGUACACUUUAAAUCCUUUAACAAGGACCAAUUGGAGGGCAAGUCUGGUGCCAGCAGCCGCGGUAAUUCCAGCUCCAAUAGCGUAUAUUAAAGUUGUUGCGGUUAAAAAGCUCGUAGUUGAAUCUGUGUGUCACAGUGUCGGUUCACCGCUCGCGGUGUCUAACUGGCAUUAUGUGGUACGUCCUACCGGUGGGCUUAGCUCCUUGCGGGCGGUCCAACUAAUCUCCCAUCGCGGUGCUCUUCACUGAGUGUCGAGGUGGGCCGGUACGUUUACUUUGAACAAAUUAGAGUGCUCAAAGCAGGCUACCUUCGCCUGAAUACUGCGUGCAUGGAAUAAUGGAAUAGGACCUCGGUUCUAUUUUGUUGGUUUUCGGAACCCCGAGGUAAUGAUUAAUAGGGACAGAUGGGGGCAUUCGUAUUGCGACGUUAGAGGUGAAAUUCUUGGAUCGUCGCAAGACGGACUAAAGCGAAAGCAUUUGCCAAAAAUGUUUUCAUUAAUCAAGAACGAAAGUUAGAGGUUCGAAGGCGAUCAGAUACCGCCCUAGUUCUAACCAUAAACGAUGCCAGCCAGCGAUCCGCCGAAGUUCCUCCGAUGACUCGGCGGGCAGCUUCCGGGAAACCAAAGCUUUUGGGUUCCGGGGGAAGUAUGGUUGCAAAGCUGAAACUUAAAGGAAUUGACGGAAGGGCACCACCAGGAGUGGAGCCUGCGGCUUAAUUUGACUC